rnacentral:rRNA from 1 species
GACGAACGCUGGCGGCGUGCUUAACACAUGCAAGUCGAACGGAAAGGCCCGGCUUUUGUGUGUUUCUCGAUUGGCGAACGGGUGAGUAACACGUGAGUAACCUGCCCUUGACUUUGUGAUAACUUCAGGAAACUGGGGCUAAUACCGGAUAUGAGCUCCUGCUGCAUGUUGGUGGUUGGAAAGUUUCGGCGGUUGGGGAUGGACUCGCUGGUUAUCAGCUUGUUUGUGUGGUAGGUGGUUACCAAGGUUUUGAAGGGUAGCCGGCCUGAGAGGGUUACCGGCCACAUUGGGACUGAGAUACGGCCCAGAAUCCUACGGGAGGCAGCAGUGGGGAAUAUUGCACAAUGGGCGGAAGCCUGAUGCAGAAACGCCGCGUGCGGAAUGACGGCCUUCGGGUUGUAAACCGCUUUCGCAUGUGACGAAGAGUGAGUGACGGUAAUGGGUAAAGAAGCAACGGCUAACUACGUG